rnacentral:tRNA from 1 species
GGACCUUUAGCUCAGUUGGUUAGAGCAGACGGCCCAUAACCGUCCGGUCGUUGGUUCAAGUCCAACGAGGUCCA